UCUCAAAGAUUAAGCCAUGCAUGUCUAAGUCCAAGCUGUGUUCACACGGCGAGACCGCGGACGGCUCAUUAAAUCAGUCGUGGUCCAAAUGGGCCAGUGCAAAUCCUACUUGGAUAACUGUGGUAAUUCCAGAGCUAAUACAUGCAACUGAUAUCCCGAAGGCGGUGUUGGGGCUUGCUUGCCUUGCGCUGCGCUGCUCUGACGGAUGCUUUUAUUAGACCAAGCCGCUGAGGACUUGAGGGUUCGCGCUCUCUUGUUUGACUCGUGUGAUGGUGACUCUGGAUAACCAAAUUCUGACAAGCGCACGUACUUCUCUUCUGAGCGAGACGGCGCUGCCACUUUCGAGUGUCUGCCUUAUCAGCUAUCAACCGUUCGUUAUGCGCGACCGAUGGCUUUGACGGGUAACGGGGAAUCAGGGUUCGAUUCCGGAGAGGCAGCCUGAGAGACGGCUACCACGUCCAAGGACGGCAGCAGGCACGCAAAUUACCCAAUCCCAGCAAAUGGGGGAGGUAGUGACGAAAUCUAACGAUGCGGGCGCCCUUUCUGGGGCCCCGCAAUCGGAAUGGGCACUUUCUAAACAACCUGUUGAGAACCUAC
rnacentral:rRNA from 1 species